CCGCGUCUCACUGACGUAAUUUACCGCUCUUUCUUUACAACGACGGUUUGCCCGUGGAGGUAAACCCAGCUCCCUCAGAUCGUGCGUGCGGCUCGGGAUUUUUCGUUUGGUGGAGUGGGGGUGUGGCUGCGGCGAUUGGCGAUUGGCGAGGAUGAGCGGCGCCGGCGGCAACGGCUCGGGAAGGAGCAGCCGACGGCGGCGCAUCAGAGCAGGAGGAGCGGCGCGGCGAGAGCAGACGCGCGGUGUGGCGGCGGCUGGCUACGCGGCUUGCUCAAGCUGGCUCAAGCCUGGGCGGCUAGGCGGCGCCGGCACCGGCGGUUGGGGCGACGUCCACCUCCAUCCCCAUCUCCUCCUCCGCAGGGCAAAGCCUCAUCCGCUUCACCACGGAGCCGUGAUCCCCUGCGUCAAACAUGCCCCUCGCUAGUCUUCUUCUCUCUCUCGCCGGCGCUCGUGCGUGAGCUGGAGACGGAGAUGCUGCUCCUGCUGCCGCCGCCGCUUGGUUCCUUGGUAGCCGCAACAGCCGCUCAGAUUCAGCCCCAACUCAAAGUUAACCAAUCAAACCAAUUCCCCUUCCUCUGUAUCUCUUUUCUUUGACGCAAGAAUCUAUCUGAUUAUUUUGAGGCAAAAUUCUCUCUGAUUAAUUCCAACGUAAUGGAGCCUUGCUAAUUCUUCUCCUCCUUGGUCUCUUUCAACUCUCGUCCAGGGUGAUCUGUACACAGCUUUGUUGUUGACGGUGGCGACCAUUGGACUUGUAGCUAGCCGGCAGUUUGGUUACCUUGAGGAAGUAAUCACAGUAACCUGCAAGGAGGUGGAGACCAACUGCUCUCAGGAUCUCUCAGGAUAUUCUUCCCCUUGUUUUUUUCUUGUCUUGCUUUAUAUAUAAUUGUGGGAGCUAAAAUUCUUGCUCUCAGACCUUAUUCUCAACCGCAUGCCAUGUGUUUGUGUUAAUGUCCUGAAGAAUAUGCUUUAUAUAUAAGUUGUGCUAUGAUUGAUGUUGCUAGGAUUAAAAUUAAGAGUUGCUUACAUCUGGGUAAGGUUAGAGCUGUGGCUAGAAUUGCUUACGAAUUAUUCAAUGGAGUUUGUAUCUUUAAACAACUAGUGUGAAAUAUAUCAUGUCAUUACCAAUUACACGAACUGUCAACAUUGAACAGUUUGCUUCAGUUAAACAUUGAAUUCCUCGAUUUGUCUUUAAUGUUGUCCUGAUUGCCAGCUCGAUAGGCCUCUGAGGCUGUGUUUUGGUUGACGAAAUGAUGAGUGAUGAUACCAAUAAGAGCAGCACAGUUUCUUUCCUGUUGCUUUAAAUAUAUUUCUAUGUGUUACUCUUUCUACUGUACAGAUUCUAACUAGGUGCACUUUAUAUUUUUACUAAUAACGGCUUAUCUAUCAGAUCAUCUCACAAUUAUGUAUUUGAAAAUUAUUCGUUUUACCGUUGUGAAGUUUGCGGGGCUAGUGCUGUGCUGUUUUGAUUUAAUAUCAGUCACAAAGCUAAGAUAAUAUAGAUUUCAAAGUAACAUAUACAAUCUGUAGAACUGGAAGGCUGAUUAAUCAUCAGAAAAUUAUUCGGACAAAUAGAUGGAACACUAAUCCUGGAACAACUAUGGGAUGCUGCUUACAAAGGACUACCUGCUGUACUAUCGCUCACGAUUCAUUGUCUCUUUUCAGAAAAUAUCUAUUUUGUUUUAUCGACAUUCAUAUUGCUCAUAAGUGAAAUCCUUGUGCUGUACUAUCGCUCACGAUUCAAUGUCUCUUUUCAGCCAGAAUUAAUCACCUUCGCCUUCUCGGCUUAGUCAACCAACUGCAGUGAAUAAUACUCAGGGAAGUUUGCCAAAGCCUUUCCAACAUUUGAGUGGUGAUUGCAGCAAAGUUGCCUUAUCAGCAGGUAUAACCCCCCUCGAAAUCUCCAAUCAUUUGGCACUGAAAGAUAUUGUGAAUCAGAUGUGGACUUAUGUUUUCUCCCCGAAACUUGUGGAUGCAUUUCACAAGAUCCUGAAAGCUUGCUGGAAUUGGAAAGAAAGGUCCCUUUGUACUAUUUCUAGGCAGUUUAACGAUAUGUUUUCUAUUGCACAGAAGGCUUGAAAAUUAACAGUGGUUUAGUUUCAUGAACCUCUACAUAAUUUUUCUUGUUUUCUUACGACCACCGUUUCUCUCCCGAAGCUAGCCUCACCUUUCCCACAAGGUAUCUGUUCCCACGAUAAUUUUCAACACAAGGCUUACAGACCAGGAAUUGACAACCUUUUAGUGCUUCUCACUUGAAGAAUUCCCAUUGCCAAUACUUGAGGAUGGAGGCCAGUACUGCUAAGCAUACUUCGUCGUCGACCACAUCUGCUCACACCCUCUCGCCGGCAGCUCCUCCCUCAGCCCCGUCGCUGACCUCGCUGCCACCGUGGCCACCGACAUCGGCCCAUGCCGUUGAUUUCUUCUUCCUCGUUCCCCAAUUUUCCAAACGAGGCCACCGCCUUGUGCGCCUGUACAUGCCGCUUGCCGCCGCAGACGCCGCCCAGAGUUUUCAAAUGGCGGAGGCGCUGCGUGUGUAAAUCAAGGUUCAGAAAUAGCUGCAUGAGCAGAGCAGUUAGAGGUAAGUAUCAGGGACUUGCAUUUUUAAGAUGAAACUGCAUGUUCAGAAGCAUCCUACUGCAGCUUAUAGUUGCAAGAUUGUUUCAGCAGUCUUGAUUAAUCUAUGCCUUUUCAGUUGUUCGGUAAAAAUAAUUAGUUACUAUUCAUGAAAGAACUUGCUUAUAAUUCAGAAAAUAUCUUGGAGUUUACCAGCACCGUGUCAUUGUUCUGUUAGCCAUAAGAUACGAAGAGAACUACAGCUGCGCAUAGAGAAGCAUGCAAGAUAUUUGCAACAAAUACUUGAGCAACAGAAGGCCAGGAAGUGCCCGCCCUGAACGAAGUUCAAUGGAAGGAAAAUCGUUCAAUGGAAGGAAAAUCGUCGGGAUUGAAACCGUAGCAGAAAACAGAGAUGAGAGCAGAAACCCCCUCAACUCCAUCAUCGAAGCGUAAAUUUCCGGACAUCGAGCACAACCAGCAAACGGACGACAAAAGAGCAGAGCUUCAGGUUGAUCUAGAAGGCGAGCCAUUAUGAACAAUCUCGCUGUAUAUAUGCUUUAGUUGUUUUUUCUUGCCUUGUAGAAGUAGGAUUGUGGUGCUUACCCUUGUGUAUGUAUAUACCAGCCUGGCUUGUUUACUUUUGAUGUACCUUAUGGCAAUGUAACUGAUUAAUUUUCGGAUGAAGAUGGAAGCAGCAAGGACAAAAAGAAGAUGAUGUAACUAAUGAUCCGAUACAUGGACCAUUAACUUUUGUAAUUCACUCAUGGAACAAAUGACUUGCACAGGAAACAUAUUAGUGCAUUACUUUUA